GGUGAACGCUGGCGGCGUGCCUAAUACAUGCAAGUCGAACGGAAGCACGGUAAGCUUUUGCCUCUACCGUUGGCGAGUGACGGGCGGGUGAGGCGUACAUCAGCAUCUUCUUUUUCUUGGGUAACAACGUAGGGACACAUACGAUACUACCUCAUAUGAUCUACCGGUGAGUUCAGUAGAUCUUCGCACUUUUCGCGACUGUUUUAGCUGAUGUCGCAUUAGCUAGUUGGUUGGGUAAAGGCACACCAAGGCGACGAUGCGUAGCGUAUCUGAGAGGGUGAUCGGCCACACUGGAACUGAGACACGGUCCAGACUCCUACGGGAGGCAGCAGUAGGGAAUAUUCGGCAAUGGGCGAAAGCCUGACGGAGCCACACCGCGUGGGUGAUGAAGGCCUUCGGGUCGUAAAACCCUGUUGUUAGGGAAGAACAAAUGUGGAAGUAUAUCUGGCCGUUCUGACGGUACCCAAUCAGAAAGCAACGGCUAACUACGUG
rnacentral:rRNA from 1 species